rnacentral:rRNA from 1 species
AGAGUUUGAUCCUGGCUCAGGACAAACGCUGGCGGCGUGCUUAACACAUGCAAGUCGAACGGUCUCAUUUCGGUGAGAUAGUGGCGGACGGGUGAGUAACACGUAGAUAACCUGCCUCGUAGUGGGGAAUAACUAACCGAAAGGUUAGCUAAUACCGCAUAAGCUCUCAUACGAUAGUGUGAGAGGAAACGCUUUCUUCGGAGGGUGGCUGCGAGAGGGGUCUGCGGCGGAUUAGCUAGUUGGUGUAGUAACGGUGCGCCAAGGCGACGAUCCGUAGCUGGUCUAAGAGGACGAUCAGCCACACUGGGACUGAGACACGGCCCAGACUCCUACGGGAGGCAGCAGCGAGGAAUAUUCCACAAUGGGCGAAAGCCUGAUGGAGCGACGCCGCGUUAAGGAAGAAGGCCUUCGGGUUGUAAACUUCUUUUUUCGGGGAUGACACGCCCCCUAAUACGGGGAUAGGACAGUACCCGAAGAAUAAGCCUCGGCUAACUACGUGCCAGCAGCCGCGGUAAUACGUAGGAGGCGAGCGUUGUCCGGAUUUACUGGGCGUAAAGAGCGCGCAGGCGGCAUGUCAAGUAAGGUGUGAAAUCUCCCUGCUCAACGGGGAGGGUGCAUUUUAGACUGGCAAGCUAGAGGACGGUAGAGGGGGGUAGAAUUGCUGGUGUAGCGGUGAAAUGCGUAGAGAUCAGCAGGAAUACCCGUGGCGAAGGCGGCCCCCUGGGCCGAACCUGACGCUGAGGCGCGAAGGCUAGGGGAGCGAACGGGAUUAGAUACCCCGGUAGUCCUAGCAGUAAACGAUGGCCACUAGGUGUGGGGGGUGUUGACCCCUUCCGUGCCGAAGCUAACGCAUUAAGUGGCCCGCCUGGGGAGUACGGUCGCAAGACUAAAACUCAAAGGAAUUGACGGGUCCCCGCACAAGCAGCGGAGCGUGUGGUUUAAUUCGAUUCAACGCGAAGAACCUUACCUGGGCUUGACAUGUAUUCGCAACACUCUGAAAGGAGUGCCUCUUCGGACGGAUACACAGAUGUUGCAUGGCUGUCGUCAGCUCGUGUCGUGAGAUGUUGGGUUAAGUCCCUCAACGAGCGCAACCCUUAUUUCUAGUUGAAUAUCUAGAGAGACUGCCGGAAACAAACCGGAGGAAGGCGGGGAUGACGUCAAGUCAGCAUGACUCUUACGUCCAUGGCUACACACACGCUACAAUGGAGGGUACAGCGAGAAGCCAACCUGCGAGGGUGAGCAGACCUCUAAAAGCCUUCCUCAGUUCAGAUUGCACUCUGCAACCCGAGUGCAUGAAGUCGGAGUUGCUAUUAACCGCGUGUCAGCAUAGCGCGGUGAAUAUGUUCCCGGGGAUUGUACACACCGCCCGUCACGUCAUGGGAGCUGGCAAUACCUGAAGUCCGUGAGCUAACCGUUCGCAAGAAGGGAGGCAGCGGCCGAGGGUAGGGCUAGUGACUGGGACGAAGUCGUAACAAGGUA